AUACGUAGGGGGCGAGCGUUGUCCGGAAUGAUUGGGCGUAAAGGGCGCGUAGGCGGCCCGGUAAGUCUGGAGUGAAAGUCCUGUUUUUAAGAUGGGAAUUGCUUUGGAUACUGUCGGGCUUGAGUGCAGGAGAGGUAAGUGGAAUUCCCAGUGUAGCGGUGAAAUGCGUAGAGAUUGGGAGGAACACCAGCGGCGAAGGCGACUUACUGGACUGUAACUGACGCUGAGGCGCGAAAGUGUGGGGAGCAAACAGGAUUAGAUACCCUGGUAGUCCACACUGUAAACGAUGAAUGCUAGGUGUAGGGGGUAUCGACCCCUUCUGUGCCGCAGUCAACACAAUAAGCAUUCCGCCUGGGGAGUACGGCCGCAAGGUUGAAACUCAAAGGAAUUGACGG
rnacentral:rRNA from 1 species